AUAUAUAUAUAUAUAUGGGAAAUAGCCAGCUAGUCACGUGCAUAGCUAUGCAUAGGAGCAUAACCGUUGGAUCAGCCCUAGAGACCAUCUUCACGCAUCGAUCAAACUAACGCCGUCAGGUACUUUUCUUCCUCUUUCUUUCCGCUCCGUACCACCUCCGCGUCAUCCUCCCUUGCCUUUUUCUUUCCUCCUCCCGCACAUCACACCUUUUCCCUGCUCCUGAUUUCCUCGCUCGACCCUGAUAGGACCGGCUGCAUCGUCCCCGCCGAGUUCCUGACCCAGAUCCAACCGCGCGCCACCGGCUGUCCCCUUCCUCCCCGACGAGGCCCUUCCGUCCUCGCUUAUUUUUCUACGGAUCCAUUAUUUCAGAUGCGUUCUUGCUUAUUUUUUCUUGAGUCUCUUGAUUUGUUUUGUUGAAAUAAAGAUUUACCAAGAUGCAGGUCCUUCCCCAAAGCUUUUUUCUUUGGUACGAAUCCAUCAUCCAUAUCAUAAUUGUUCUGGCUUCAAACGGAUCCAAUUUGUUUCCUAUGCUAGUUUAUUUGCUAUGCCUAAUUUCUAUUUUCUAGCCUACGGUUUAGCACUAGCACAUUAGCAGUACUUGGAUCUGCUUCACGUCCUUUUCUCCGAUCUACUUCUAGGUAGAUUUUUUAGUGCUGUUUUUUGAGAUUUGAGGAGCAGCUGCGUGUCGAGAGGCAAAACCGAGAAAGAGGGAUCGGGAGAGUUGGGGACGGAGACGCCACGGGAGAAGAAGGACCGGGAGGAUUGAGCAGCAGCGGGCGGGUGCGGUUGUGGGAGGACAAGGCGUGGCUGGCGGACGCGGGCAUGGCCUUCGUCCAGAUCACGUAUGGCGGCUACCACGUCCUCACCAAAUUCGUCCUCAACGUCUACGAUGACCUCGUCGCGCUCACCAUCCUCGCCCCCGUCUCCUUCUUCCGACAGAGGUUUUUGCUUCCUGGUCUCCUGCUACACCCAACUCUUACCCUUGCUCUGCAGCAGCAAGAAGCGAAAUCGACCCCUUUCCCUCCCCCUCUGAUUUUGACGAAUUCUCAUCAAGAUGCGGCAUGCUCUUUUGUUAAUUGCUAAUUGCUAACAGGGAGUACUACGGAGUACUAGCCACUCAUUAACCAAUUGCUAAUUUUCAGAAUUAGCAUGGUCAGUCCAGCUCUUACCAGAUGCACAUUUUGAGAGCUGAUUUUCAGAGUAGUUCAAACAAUUAGGCAACGCACUAAUUUACAAAGCAACACACGUGAGAUGUGCUUGUGUAGAUAAACAAUACUCCUACUCCUGUUGCUGCUAGCCUAGGAAAAUUUACUUUGAAGCAGCUCAAUGACAAGCAUUAUAGGUCAUGUUCUUUUCUAGCCAAAUUUACACGGGUUAAACUCCUACUGCUGCUGGUCACCUGCCCAUGUAACUUCUCAAUCUAACACAGCACAUACAGUUUUGGAUGGUUGGAGAGUGUUCCAGCACACUUGAUAUGGCUCACUUCGCAACAUUCUAGGAGUACUGUAUGUUUGUUUUGCUUUGUCGAAAAGCUUAUGUUCGGGGGUAGAAAUUUUGGAGUAGCUUAAAUUGGUUGAUACUUGCAAAACACUGGACCUAAGCAUUGAUGUACAGUAGUUUAACUGAGCUUAUGGGUUUCUGAUUGUGAUGAAAUUACAUCACUCCCUGAAAUGUCUUUGUUAUACUCCAGUAGAACAGUCCAGCCCGAAUUUUCUUUGUUAUUCUACAGUACAGUAGAUGGAAUUUUUUUGGACUAUUCUACUAAUACUACUGGACUAUUAGCUGCUUGUUUAUCUUAGUAAAAAGUUUAACCAGGUUAAACAGAUGGGUAUCCUGCUGGAUGAAACUACUGGAGUAUCCAGUGAUUAAAUAUCUUGCAAAAAACCAAAGUGCCUUUUCUGUAAUUGAUGAUAUACUCCAGAAAUACUGUUAACAUUAUAUCCAGCCCAUGUACAGUCAUAAUCAUAACCAAAGUGCCUUUUUUGGAGUAGAUCCAGUAAUAUUGUUAACAUUAUAUCCAACCCAUGUACAGUGAUAAAAUUCAGUAUAGGUAACUGAGGGAUUCCUGCUCUAGGUGUUUUGUGACAGUGCAGUCUAGAGAACAGUUGCUUCGUGCAGACAUCAUGUCCCUUAUUAACCGUGAUGCAGCCUUUGGUUUCUUCACCUUAUGUUUAGGCACCAAGUGAGUAUCUUCCUCACCUAUAUAAAUGCAAGCCACUCUAUGUUUGUGCGAUAGCAAACCGAUAGAAGCGCAUGGAGAAGGUGUGUUGUAUGAUGAGAGGACCGAGACCUACUUCUGGUAUGGAGAAAAUAAGUAUGGCAAGACAUACAGAGCUCACACCAAGGGAGCUGAUCGAUUAUCUGGUGACUGAAAGUUUUGGCAUGCAUUGAUCUCAACUUGUGAAGCGGAGACCGGCGGCGGGAGACGAGGGCAGGGGGGCUGGCGACGCUAGGGAAGCAUGAGGCCGCCGGCCCGCCGGCAGGAUGCGAGGGCAAGAGGUGUGCGGCAGGAGGAGAUCUCGGGAGAGCAGGGGGAAGUCCCGUGGCGCUAGGGAAGUAGCAGGCCGCCGACGUGAGGCACGGUAGAGCGCCAACGUCCAGAUGGGAAGGCCGUCGACCGGCGCGGCGCUGCAAGCACGGGAUUCUGCCCAAGCUGUUUGAGGAAGGACUGGUUCGUUGAAGAACUGAAACUACAACGGUGAAUUGCAAAAAUUGAUUAUAACUAGCCUCCCGAAACCUAAUCUAUGACGAAGGGUGUACUUGGUUGGCGAUGGAAAUAUCAGGAUGUAAUUGAUAGUCAA